rnacentral:lncRNA from 1 species
GUAUCUUCUAAAUACUCCAUUCCAGGUUUCCCCUACAGCCCCCAGGGCCUUGAGUAUCUUCUAAAUGAUCCAUUCCAGGUUUCCCCUACAGCCCCCAGGGCCUUGAGUAUCUUCUAAAUACUCCAUUCCAGGUUUCCCCUACAGCCCCCAGGGCCUUGAGUAUCUUCUAAAUACUCCAUUCCAGGUUUCCCCUACAGCCCCCAGGGCCUUGAGUAUCUUCUAAAUGCUCCAUUCCAGGUUUUCCCUACAGCCCCCAGGGCCUUGAGUAUCUUCUAAAUGAUCCAUUCCAGGUUUCCCCUACAGCCCCCAGGGCCUUGAGUAUCUUCUAAAUGCUCCAUUCCAGGUUUCCCCUACAGCCCCCAGG